GAUGAACACUGGAGGCGUGCUUAACACAUGCAAGUCGAACGGGAUCCAUCAGGCUUUGCUUGGUGGUGAGAGUGGCGAACGGGUGAGUAAUGCGUGACCGACCUGCCCCAUACACCGGAAUAGCUCCUGGAAACGGGUGGUAAUGCCGGAUGCUCCAGUUGAUCGCAUGGUCUUCUGGGAAAGCUUUCGCGGUAUGGGAUGGGGUCGCGUCCUAUCAGCUUGACGGCGGGGUAACGGCCCACCGUGGCUUCGACGGGUAGCCGGCCUGAGAGGGCGACCGGCCACAUUGGGACUGAGAUACGGCCCAGACUCCUACGGGAGGCAGCAGUGGGGAAUAUUGCACAAUGGGCGCAAGCCUGAUGCAGCGACGCCGCGUGAGGGAUGGAGGCCUUCGGGUUGUAAACCUCUCUUAUCGGGGAGCAAGCGAGAGUGAGUUUACCCGUUGAAUAAGCACCGGCUAACUACGUGCCAGCAGCCGCAGUAAGAC
rnacentral:rRNA from 1 species